GGAGGAGGAAGUAAUAUCAUCAGCUGCCGCAGUCACCCGUCAAUGUGUGUACCUCAUCUUGUGGACCUCGUCACAGCUGGCCUGAACAUGCUGCAGAGCCGAAGGAUCGGGCUCUGAGUGAAGACUGGCAGAGACAGACACAAUCAAUCAGCUAUCAAUCCUCCUGAAGCAAUCAAUAAGCCUGUGUGUACUGACAGCUGUUCUUGGUGUUGCUCAGGCUCUGCCUCAGGUUGUCCAUGAGCUCUAGGAUCUGUUCCAGGGUGAGCUGAGCCAGUUUACUGCUGGAACUCUGAAGACUGAGGACGGAGACACAACCGCUGUUCAACAGCUAGGCCUUUCCUGGACACCACUCACCUUUAUAGGUGCUGCAGGAUGGGGAUGAUGGACUCCAAGCUCGACUUCAGUGAACCUGAUGCAGGUGAGCUCUGACUGGACGGACAGCCGGAGAGUCCAACAUUGAGCUAUCAUAGCUUAUUAGCAAUCAGCAUGCAGACCUGGUUUACAACACACUUAGCAUUAGGGAUGGGGAUCGUUAAAUUUUAUUGAUACCCUUAUUGAGACUGCUUACCGAUCCGAUUCUUUAACAAUACCACUAUCGAUCCUUUAGUAUUAUUUGGUGACGGUUAUUUGGUAAGACCAGACCCACCUUUAACAUAUAUAGCAAUUGUAAGUCGCUUUGGAUAAAAGCAUGAGUUAAAUGCCUAAAAGUAUUUAUUAUAUAAUGGGAAUACACUCCACCAGGUUCACUUUACUGGCUCCACUGCCCUAUCAGCGCUAAGGUCUGCUGACUUUGCUUGGUGUGUAUGAGGCAGAUGCUGCAGCAUUAUAUUAAACCAACUUAGACCAAAACUUAAGAAGCAGAGAUAAAAGAACCAGUAACGUUGUAGCUUAUCAAAAACAACAUCACAAUCUUUAAUAAUUUUGCCCAUUUAAUACCCAUCCCUAGUUAAGACCACCACCUAACGUUUUAGCAAUGUUUCUUUAACUUGACAUUUCUGAGACAAGACUGUCAAUUUUACAUUUACUCAUUUGGUAGACGCAUUUAUCCAAAGCAGCUUACAUUUCAGGAACAUACAGCAUUAAGAAAGCAAGAUUAAUUUAACUAACGUUAGCCAACAUGACUGCCAAACACACUUUUGAAAAGGCUGAGAAAGUAAAGGUAAGGUAACACUACUUAGUACUAAAUAGGCAGUUACUUAUUCAUGCAACACUAAUUUGCUAUGUCCUUAUAGGAAUGCCCGCGAAUUGUUCGGCAGGGAUUCUACAGUACAUCAAGCUAAGUUAACUUAGCUUGUUUAACGUUAGCCAACUCCUCACAGGUGGACUCUGACAUUUAAACUCUGAUAUAUGGAAGAUUCCAAAUAUUACAACUAAAUUACUCUUCCGCGAUGACAAUGUUAACAGUACCUCUUGCCAACAUAGUCUAGUUUGACAUUAACUACGAAGUUAACGUUACUUAACAUUAGCUUCUCAAUUUAAUGGCACAUGUAAGCUAGCCAUCAACUUGGUCACCUUAGCCCUUCGGAAUUCUGUUAAAAGAUAAAACCGCCAGCUGUAGUUUAUGGUGAACAUCAAUAUCAAGUUAUUCUACAACACUGCUUCUGUUCUGUGACUUUAUUUUAUAACCAUACACUUUGAAGUUAGUUUUAAGUUGGAUAUUUGACAGACAUUCAGAAUGCGGUGACGGCUUCUAACUCAGUUCACCCAGUGUCGGCAGUGUAAGUGCGGUUAGCUCACCUCCGAUAGAUCGCUUUUAACCACCGGGGGUUAGUUUAGGGACCAUCAAUAAAUUAAAAUUGUUAAAAUAGUGUUAUGGGAAAAUCAUCAUUUAUUUCAAUAGCUUCCAUGUCAUGUGAUCCAAAGACAUCAAACCAAUGCCAAACUGUAGCAACCAUUUCUCAGGUAAAAACUAUAUUCUUUUUCCCAUAUAGCCAGCCAUCAUGCUUAAAACAAGUAAUUGAGGCAUUAUGUUUUUCUGUCAAGGCCCAAGUUGGAAACCAUUAAUCUGCAUACAUUUAUGUGUUUGCUGAGGUCAUUGCUUUACAAAUGUUAAACCUAUUCAUCCAAUUCUACUGCGAGCUCAAGAGAUACACACCACAUCUGAUUGCCCUGUAGAGGCAGAAGGCCAAGAAAGCAGAGGCUCUGCAGAGAUCCUCAGGAUUUAUGACAUUCAGGAACAACACGAGGUACACAUGGGAUGCCAUCAGACCCUCCGUGGCCUCCCAGUGAACCUGCUAGCGGAUGACUGACAUCUUCGAAACCUGCAAUGUUCAGCAAACUGCUCACCCUGGAGGAGGAGUACGAGGACUCCCAGAUCGAGCCUCCCAAGUCCCGCCGUAAGGCUCCAGCCUCCUCGCCUCGCUUUCGCCCACCAACAACGAGGAGAAGAGCGCCUCCAGCAGUGCCUCGGUACAUAACCCCACCUCCACCUGCUCCUCUGUGUGAGGACAACCUGAAUCUGCAUGUCGUUCUUUGAUUGGUCCGUUUCAAAACCACAUGGAAAUUUGAUAAUUCAUGUGUCUGAUUUGUGAAACCAGGAAGCAGCUUUGUGUCUUCACCAAGCAGGAAGCUCCAGGUUUUGAAAAGUGAAGCCUCAAACCUGCAUUCUCUCUAACAGCCAGCACUCCACUGGAUCGUAUAUGGUCUCAGUCGCUAGUUUCAAGUGUUCUUCAACACAGCAUGAUGUUCAUUUAGUAAAUUAUGGUUCCAUUUAGAGGAAAAUAGACCAGAAAGCAGGGGAGGCUUUAGGAUGGGGCUACCUUGUGAUUGACAAAUCACUAUGUGUGACCCAAAUAUGGUACCCCAUAGAUGUUCAGGGGAGCUGAACACCUCUUCUCUUUACUGCCAAUAUAUUUUCCUCCUCUGGGAUUCACCGUCACUUUCUGUCACUCGGACAAUCAAACACUCUGAGACCUCCAGAUUAAAGGAGCUGCUCUGAAAACAGCACCUGUCAGGUAGACGUCCUGCAGGUUUUCGCAGGGUCUUUAAAAGUCUAAAAUAUCAAAAUUUAAGGCCUUAAAGUAUUAAAUUCUCUGACGUUUGUGUUCUAGGUCUUAAAUAAGUUUAAACAGGUAUUUAUUUUCCAACGUCUAUGUAACGCUACCUCUAAUGCUCAUUAACAUGUCCCCGCAGCGCUCAAGAAUGUUUUUGAAUGUGUAGUUCUUCCUGUCGCCAGCCCAAAUUGGUCUAAAUAUAAUUGUGUAAUGUAUUACGACUACACAGACCAACAGGCAUCUUCCGUGUUAUUGCCGCAAGUCUUUCGGAUUGUACCACAGAUAUAAAACAGAUUUAUUCUUCAACUAUGGGGAAGUGCAAUCUUAUCUGUUCUUGGAUGGAAAAACAGAUCUUAGGGCUUAAAACCAGUCUCUAGCAACGUAUUUGAAGCCUACUGUCACUGCUUAAUGAAUGAGUGCCGCUAUUAAGAUUUCACACGAUCAUUAAUGAUCAUCAGUAAGCUAGGGUAACACACAACAAAUGGUUGUCUCCCUCUCCUUGUCCUUCAAAUGGCGAGCGACUGUGAGGGAGAGAGUGGCAGAAAGUGACUGUGAAAGUUAGCGGAGGAUAAGAUCAGCAUUAAGUUGUGAAGUUACAGCUCUGUCCUUUACUGUACAUCUUGAUAGUUAAAUUAAAAAGAAUGGACGGUGUUGACCACGGAGGAGCUGAGAUUAGUAACAUUUAAGCAAAUUAGGGAUGCAAACUAACAUUAGUCCUUUUUAAGCUAAUGAGGAGA